AUGGCAUUCAUCGCCGUAUUGGCGGCGUGGAAGGCGCCUUCAAGCCUGCACUUGCGGCUCGGGUCGACGAGGCAGCUGCAACAGGACAACAGCCGCAACGGACCAAAGAAAUUAGAUCCAUCCAGCUUACUGCAAUGGAAUCGACCAGGGUCACAUGCAAGAUUACGGGAAGCAUAUAACCUGAGCUCUACGAGGUUGAACAAGUCUGGACCGAUACAAGGUAUUGCUAGGUGGACCUUGCCAGAGCAAUCAAGUAAAUUAGCAGAUUUCAGCAGGAAAAGGGUUACUCACAGGCCU
rnacentral:rRNA from 1 species